UUAGUCGGAUUCGCAUCAAUUCACAUGCGUUGGUGUGGAUUGGAGUAGAACUUAAAUUAAAUUUCACCCCAAUCCACUCCAACGCAUAUGGAUUGAGUCUAUCCAAGG
rfam:Sorghum bicolor cultivar BTx623 chromosome 10, whole genome shotgun sequence.